rnacentral:lncRNA from 10 species
CAUCAGGGGAGCAGGGCAGGUCAACGGCUGCUCAGAAGCCUGGCAGGGUUUGCAGGGCGUGGGCUGCCCCAAGCUCAUCUGCACAGAGCGCUGACUUCCGGCCCCAGGACCAGAGCAGGAGACAUGGCCGGGGAAGAAGAGCAAAGGUGGCUCCUGUAAUUCAUUUGGGGGCGUGAGGUGAAGACGGGGCCAGCGCCCCUGGGGCAGCUGAGACCAGGGCGGGGAAGACCAUAAAUCAGGCAGGAGCCAGUGCCCGGUGCCCCAAGGUGAGCACAUGGAGGGACAGUGACUGCUGGUCCUGGGAGCGAGCACAGAGCCCACGGGAAAGCGAGGAGCUCAGUAGGAAAGUGAGGAGCCCACCAGGAAAGCGCGGAGCCCAAGGGAAAGCGCGGAGCCCACUGGGAAAGCGAGGAGCCCACGGGAAAGCGAGGAGCCCAGUGGGAAAGUGCAGAGCCCGCGGGAAAGGAAGGAGCCCACGAGAAAGCGCAGAGCCCACGGGAAAGGGAGGAGCCCACGGGAAAUCAGGGCUGCACUGCACACCAGUUCAGAUGCUUCCAGUGUCCGCUGGGCGCCGGUCCGUCCCAGAAGAAGGCCUAUGUCUGCCUGAGAAUCAGCCUGGGGUUCCUUCAGCGCACGCAUACAGAAUCCUAAAAGGCCGUGGGAAGCAGCCCGAACCUUUCCUUAAAUCGCAGAAGGGAGCAAGGGAAGAAUCCACAUGGCGGACAGGCUGAGAUCUCAAAUCCCAGUAAUCACUAUGACAUGGUUAAGAAAUAAGGUGCAAAUCCCACCAACAAUUCCAAAAGGAAACUUCAUAUGCAAACCAAAAUCACAUCAAUCAGCUGAGUCUUCAUUUUCUUCACAUGCCCACAAAAAUAAGUAUCCCUGGGAGGACAGUGACGGGAGGCAGAGGCAGGCUAAGUCCUCGCACACGGGGAGAUGGUUCCUCACACACGUGGUCAGAGAAAAAUACGGCAAGUACCAGAAAAUUAAAACAGGAUGAAUAUCUCUCUAACAAUUAGCAAAAACUGGAGUGAAAUGUACCUGCCAAGGGUGAGAAAACAGCAAACACACAGAGCAGCACCAAGAAAUCGUCGCCCUGAGAUGACGGGAGCAGACGUAUGACUGGCAAUGGCAAGAGCAAAACACAUGAGCGGAUUUUCCCCUCGCAGCCUCAGAUCUGCUUUCUGUCCUUGUGGGUUUGCCUCCUCUGGGUACGUUCUGAGUUAAUUUUUGUAUAAGUUAUGAGACUUAGGUCAAAGUUCCUUUUUUUUUUUUUUUUUGGCCUGUAGAUGUCUGAUUCUUCCAGCACCAUUUGUUGAAAAGCUACUCUUCUUCCACUGAAUUGUUUUUAUACCUUUGUCAAAAAUCAGGUGGGCCUAUUUGUGUGGGUCAGUUUCUGGGUUUUCUGUUCUGUUCUGUUUUGUUCCGUUGGUUCAAGAGUCUACCCUGAUGCACACACG